CCCUUAGAUGUUCGGGGCCGCACGCGUGCUACACUGAAGGAAUCAGCACGUCUUUCUCCUUGUCCGAAAGGACUGGGUAACCCGCUGAACCUCCUUCGUGCUAGGGAUUGGGGCUUGUAAUUCUUCCCCAUGAACGAGGAAUUCCCAGUAAGCGCGAGUCAUAAGCUCGCGUUGAUUACGUCCCUGCCCUUUGUACACACCGCCCGUCGCUACUACCGAUUGGAUGGUUUAGUGAGAUCCUCGGAUUGGUCCCGGAGCGGCCUCUGGUCGUGCCGGAGUGCCGAAAAGAAUGUCGAACUUGAUCAUCUAGAGGAAGUAAAAGUCGUAACA
rnacentral:rRNA from 1 species